UACGAAGGGGGCUAGCGUUGCUCGGAAUCACUGGGCGUAAAGGGUGCGUAGGCGGGUCUUUAAGUCAGGGGUGAAAUCCUGGAGCUCAACUCCAGAACUGCCUUUGAUACUGAAGAUCUUGAGUAUGGAAGAGGUGAGUGGAAUUCCGAGUGUAGAGGUGAAAUUCGUAGAUAUUCGGAAGAACACCAGUGGCGAAGGCGACUUACUGGACACAUAUUGACGCUGAGGUGCGAAAGCGUGGGGAGCAAACAGGG
rnacentral:rRNA from 1 species